UGGGGAAUUUUGUACAAUGGGGGAAACCCUGAUCCAGCCAUCCCGCGUGUGCGAUGAAGGCCUUCGGGUUGUAAAGCACUUUUGGCAGGAAAGAAACGUCAUGGGUUAAUACCCCGUGAAACUGACGUUACCUGCAGAAUAAGCACCGGCUAACUACGUGCCAGCAGCCGCGGUAAUACGUAGGGUGCAAGCGUUAAUCGGAAUUACUGGGCGUAAAGCGUGCGCAGGCGGUUCGGAAAGAAAGAUGUGAAAUCCCAGAGCUCAACUUUGGAACUGCAUUUUUAACUACCGGGCUAGAGUGUGUCAGAGGGAGGUGGAAUUCCGCGUGUAGCAGUGAAAUGCGUAGAUAUGCGGAGGAACACCGAUGGCGAAGGCAGCCUCCUGGGAUAACACUGACGCUCAUGCACGAAAGCGUGGGGAGCAAACAGG
rnacentral:rRNA from 1 species